rnacentral:lncRNA from 1 species
GGUCACUGCACUCAUGACCACAUUGACCAAGCUAGCCUCCCGGAGCCAAGACCUGAUCCCAAGGGUGUCACUGUUCCUGUCAAAAAUGCGGACCCUGGCCCAGAACCCAGCCACCAGCUCUAUGCACAGUGAGGAGGAUACAGAAUCCAUCCGGAUCCGGGCUACAGAGCUGCUAACCCUACUGAAGAUGCCCAGUGUGGCCCAGUUUGUGUUCACACCCACCGUGGGCGUGUGCCAGCCCCGCUACCACCAAGACACCAACGUGGCCCUGCCUCUGGCUCUGCGUACGGUCAGCCGACUGGUGGAGAAGGAGGCUGGCCUCUUGCCAGGUUGAAGGGACAGUCACCACCUAAACAGUGGCUUCAGCUGAAGAGCCUGGGCAGUCGAUGAUAAUAGAGCUCAGCUGCAGGCUCAGGUAGCUCGUGAGGAGCAGGAGGGAGGCGGACAUGGCUGUGAGGUUGGGGUCACCAGCCCCUGGGUAUGAGUCAUCCCUCCUUGUCUCUGUGGCUGGCUGUAGUCAGCCUUGACAGCUGAUAAGUGACUGAGUGUUAACUUCCUAGGCCGAGCACAAAUGGCCUGGUCUGCUUCUGCUGUUACUCAUUUCUGAACUUGGGGGCAGGGAGCAGUGUAGGAAAAAUAAACUGUAAAAAAUGAUGUAUGCUGGGCAAUGGGGGCACAUGCCUUUCAUCCCAGUACUCAGGAGAAACAGAGACAGGCAGAUCUGAGUUUGAGGCCAGCCUGGUUUACAGAGUGAGCUCCAUGACAGCCAGGGUUACACAGAGAAUCCCUGUCUCAAAAAAUUAAAAAGAAAAAAGAAAAAAAAAAGAAAGAAUUACUUAAUAUUUAUGUGUAGGUGUUUGCACACACCACAGCGCACACGGGGAAAUCAGGAGACAACUUCGGUGAUCAGUUCUCUCCUUCAGCCAUGUGGGUCCUGGCUGAUUGCCUGACUCAGUGACAAGUGCCUUUACUUACAGAGCCAUUUUACCUGCCCCCAAGUAAACUUUCCAAUGCUGUGUACAGCCCAGACCUCUGCCUUCCUCAGGCUGGGAGAUCACCAGGGAGCCUGACCAUGGUCUGCUGCCCUUCCCACACUGCCCUCUGUGGAGGGGGGUCCCUGGGUCUCCUGUUUGCUUCCUGUGUUCUUGAUGUGACAGAAAUAACAUGCUCUGGAGCUGAAGCUUUGCCACUAAGCCCUACAUUUAAUCCCCAGUGUAACAUGGUGAUGCAUACUGUAAUCCCAGAAGGUAGAGGCAGGAAGGUCAGAAGUUCAAGGUCAGCCUAGGCUACAGAAGAAAUUGGGCUGGGAAGACUUCUCAGCACAUAAAAGCCCUUGCCCUGAUGACACAGGGUUGUCCCCUAGAUCACAUGUGUGAAGCCACAGACCAUGGUGUGUGUGUGCACCUGUGGAGACAGCAUCAAAGCUCAAAGGCUUGCUAGAGCAGUGGAAGGACGAAAUGGAAGGCAAGAACUAACUCUCAACGCAUGCUGUGCCUUGGUCACACGAGACAUUUUAAUCUAAAUAAAGCUCAAGGUGUAUUCAUGAGGG